AUUUUAUUAAUAUAAAAAGUAUAAUUGAUUUCCAUUCAAAAAGUUUAAAUUAUUAAAUAAAAUA
rnacentral:tRNA from 1 species